UUAGGCUACAUAUGUAGGUUAGGCCAGACCUGAUCUGUUUAUUAAGUUAGGCUACAAGUGUUGAUUAUGUCAGACCUGGUCUGUUUACCCACUCGUAACGCAUGGAUGGUGAUAAUAUUGAUCAGAGAGAAUUAACGCAUUGAUGUUUUCGAUCUCUGAUCAAUACUGCCUUAGUUACUCGCACCUCUUAAAGAGACUUUUCACUAUGUACACCUUAUGACAAGAGACUACCUUAGGCUACUACAGAUGGUUCUACAGGAACAGUCUUUUGAAAGUAAUAAGAAACACUAAGAAUGAUCUCUAGAGGAGACUGCUCUCUUCCUGUACUUUUGUGCUUGGCUUUUACACUUCUUGUGGUGCAGCCGUGUUCCACACUCCAGUGCUACAGCUGUUCCCAGACAACCUUGUCUGUCCUUGCAACUCGGACAUGUGAGAUGAAUGUCACCGCAGAGCCCGUCAUUGAGUGCAGUGGACAGGGGUCAUCUUGCUAUGUCCAGAGUGUCAAAAUAGGUGACCAAAUAUCCUCUCUGGUCAGGGGAUGUAACUACCAAUGCGAAGAAAGCUGUGUCAAAUUCAAUUUUCUCAUUUCGACCUUGACCUGCACAUCGUGCUGUGCAACAGAUUUAUGUAACACCGGAAGUGGCGCCGCACAGAUCAGACAUCUUUUCACAUUCUUGUUCGGCACAGCUGCUUUAGGUAUAUUGUGGGCGAGAUCAAUUAUUUUAUAGCAAAGAUAACUGCAUAUCAUUGAUUUACAUACUUUUAAUAUAUUAUUUCACAAAGGGAUUUAUAUUUAUUCAGAUGACAAGUUUUAAUAAUAGUUGGGCCUAAUUUUGUAAAAAUGUAUUGGAAUAUAUAUUGAAUUAGAUGCUCAUAUUAUGUUAAUACAUUAAAUUUUAAUGUCCCUUAAAAAUUUGUUAUGAACAAAACAUUUUAAAAAACUAUCAAUGCUGUGCUACAAUACACACUAUACUGUGACUAUACUCAUCUUAUCUUACAAAUUAGAGAGCUAAUAAUGUGAGUAUCUAUUGCCUCCUGUUUCAGUCGUGAAGCGACUGUGGGUCAUCUCAAAGAAAUGAGAUGAAAGCCAGGACAUUAGCUAAGGUCCGAUGAAUUUCUUCACUAAGCUCAAAUUGGCUACUGGUCACAGUGGUCAAUUUAUAUUGAAUGUCAGAGUUAGAAUAUGAGUUUACACUCACAGCAUUAUCAUCGAAACUAUCUGCUGUUUCAAUUUUAGAACUCUGUGGCCCAUUAGCUGUACUCCUAUUGACAAAUAGAGUCAGUCCUAGAAGAUGUUGCAAACAUGUUGGUUCUGGGCAUCGUUCUCUACAAGUGAUUGUCUUUCUGAUUCCUUCUCAGCUCCUCCUGUUCGUUUAGUCAUGUUUCUGUGGGCUAGAGUAUGUAUGCUGGAAAUAAAAUAUAAUUAUUUGAAAAAUGUGUUUAAACACAAAAAAUUAUGCGUAGGCUAAAUGUUGUUACACUGCUGAACUAAUUAUAAAUGAUAAUCCAGUAUCAGCACCACCAAAACCACCCUAUUUGUUUAGACGAACAAUUUAAAUGAAAUCAUUAAAAAUAUUUAACUAAACUUUUCUUUUAUAUAUUUUUUUGGUACAAAGUAUGGUAAAAAUGUUUAUAUUGAUUAUUGAAUAAUAACAUUUAAGUAUUACAAAAUAUUUAAGCAGAAGGAAAACAAAUAUGUCUGAAACGGAAACAGAAUAAAUCGGAACGAAUGAAAUAUAGUUGCUGCGACGCUGUCGGGUUAAAACCUCGUAACGUAAAGUAAUGAUUUUGCUGUUUCAGUUUGGUUAUUUUCAAUAAAAACUAUUAUUUGAAGCUAUCCUAUAAUCAACGGUAAUUUCCCGGCGGCCCAGUCCAAGCCUGGCUGCAAGCUGCCUCUAAGGGUCGACAGCUCGUAUUUCCUCAAGGUUGACUCAAUUUCCCAAAUUUCCGUAAUCAGUAUACUGCAAUGCAUCAGAGGUUUUCCUUCUUCUAGCUGGGUAGCCAUGUUUUAACAAAUCGUGGUUUGCCGAUGUGUGUAUGUGUGUGUGUGUGUGUGCUAGCGUAUACGUGACCUUAUCUAAAUAUAAAUUAUAAAGUUUUCAUUCAUUAUCUUUCUUAAGUCAAUACAAAACAUUCAUAUUAAAUCGCUUCUGACUGAAAGGUUUUAAAAAGUCCUGAAAAAAAAAUCAAUAUAAUCUCAUAUACUUAGUGAUAAAUCAAUUCCACAGUUUUAGUUUUUUUGGUCAGUUUAUAUUAAAUUCCCAAAACGCAAUUAUUGUUAUUGAAGAGAAUAUGAACAAGCAAAUUAAAAAAAUACUUUAAAAAAAAACAAAGCUUAUAUUAAGUGUAGAUGUGUCAAUUAGUUUGAACCAGUCAUGUCAUUUAAUUUAUAAAAUUAUUGACAAUAAUAAUCAAUGCGAUUAGAAAUAUUUUUUUACCAUUUAUUUUUGUUUAGCGCAUUUCGUACUUAUAGCUUUCUCGAUGCGCUCUGAUCCUAUCCCUUGUCUGAACUAGUUGGAAAGGGGUCGAGGUGACCAAGAAAGAGGUAUCGCUUUUAAAAUGUUAUUUAAAUAAAAAGUGAGCGUUCUGAAUACGAACUCGACUUCCUCAACCAAUACGGUUACCACUGUGCCAGGGAGCUAAGACUUCCUCAACCAAUACGGUUACCACUGUGCCAGGGAGCUAAGACUUCCUCAACCAAUACGGUUACCACUGUGCCAGGGAGCUAAGACUUCCUCAACCAAUACGGUUACCACUGUGCCAGGGAGCUAAGACUUCCUCAACCAAUACGGUUACCACUGUGCCAGGGAGCUAAGACUUCCUCAACCAAUACGGUUACCACUGUGCCAGGGAGCUAAGACUUCCUCAACCAAUACGGUUACCACUGUGCCAGGGAGCUAAGACUUCCUCAACCAAUACGGUUACCACUGUGCCAGGGAGCUAAGACUUCCUCAACCAAUACGGUUACCACUGUGCAAGGGAGCUAAGACUUCCUCAACCAAUACGGUUACCACUGUGCCAGGGAGCUAAGACCUCCUCAACCAAUACGGUUACCGCUGUGCCAGGGAGCUAAGACUUCCUCAACCAACACAGUUACCACUGUGCCAGGGAGCUAAGACCUCCUCAACCAACACAGUUACCACUGUGCCAGGGAGCUAAGACCUCCUCAACCAACACGGUUACCGCUGUGCUAGGGAGCUAAGACGUCCUCAACCAAUACGGUUACCACUGCGCCAGGGAGCUAAGACUUUCUCAACCAACACGGUUAUGUAUAGUUACUUGUAGAUUUUUUCCAACAGACAAAGAAAGGGGACUAAUCCAACUAACACCACUUUAUCAGUCAAGGAAAUUUUCCUUCCCUUGUUCGAGUUACAAAACAAAACAAUUAAGUUAUUUAAUUAAUUUGUAAAUUUUUUAAGAUUAGCUCUGGUGUUGGCAUGUAAACGAAAUAAUUGUGCGAAAUUGCAUCUUGAUAAGAAACGUGUACAAACUUUUACCUGACAGACUGACAGAGUGACUUGAUAUAAGCUUUGUUUUCCUUUGUUAUCCUACUGUCAGCAAACAACGCAUGACUAACCAUGGAGAAAGACAUUUAUGGAUUACAUUUUUUCUUCCUUCUUAUAGCACCAUUAUUUAAAUGAACAAAUCAACAACUUAGCACAUGAAUAUAAAAUAAUUAAAACAACGCAACGUGUAAGCGUAGGACGUAAUCAUUUUAUCUUUUUAAGUAAGGUCUGUAAUUUAUAAUAUAAGCAGGGCCGCUACCUAUUGUGCAAUGUGUGCAUUGCACGCAGGCGGCCGACUUUAGGGGGCGGCCAAAUCAUUAUUUCAAGGUUCCUUUUUUUAAAAUUAGUUAAAUGAAAAAAAUAUUUAUUAAAUAUUUUAUAUAAAUUAUAAUUAUUCCAUUAUCCUUUGAAAAUAUAAAUGAUAGUCGUACAUAAGAAAUUAUUUCGAAAACUAGAACAAAAAAAUAGAGCAGUGUACAAGGGAUUCCCACGGGUUUCUCCAUAGGCGCCUACUCAUUUCUGGCCUUCCGCGGGUUGUUUGUAACAUUUGUUUGAGUCGAAUAGCCUGCACUCUAUUACCGUAAUUAAAAAGUCAAUUUUAAAAUCAUUUUCACUGGAGGGUGGAGGGCGCUAAUUCCUCUCAUAAUGGACUGGUGAGGGCGCAACGUUCUAACCAAAAGGGAUGUUACGGAAUGUGUGUUUCCUAGGCGACGGUAAGAUUAGGUUAAUCUAUGAUUGGUGGUUAUGCAGUGACGAUGAUAAAAUUAGCGUACUUAGUGUAAAUGUGAGACGAUCUUAAGACAUGAAAGAGUAAAGACUAUGUUUUUGUUAUGAGCUAGAUUUUGUUAAAUAUCAGUUUGUUUCAUUACUAUUAGAUCUAUUUUAUCUCAAAUUAAAUCGUAAAUAAUAAAACAGUUAUAUUGAAGUUUUCUUCACAAAGAACUUGUUUAAGUUAUUUAAAGUUUAGUUAUUAAUAAAUGUAUACCGCCUACAUGAUCCUACAUCGGUUUAGUUGUACUAGCUGUCUUGAGCUACAAGCCAACAACCGAUCAACAACAAAGGG